rnacentral:rRNA from 1 species
AUUGAACGCUGGCGGCAGGCCUAACACAUGCAAGUCGAGCGGAUGAAGGGAGCUUGCUCCUGGAUUCAGCGGCGGACGGGUGAGUAAUGCCUAGGAAUCUGCCUGGUAGUGGGGGAUAACGUCCGGAAACGGGCGCUAAUACCGCAUACGUCCUGAGGGAGAAAGUGGAGAUCUUCGGACCUCACGCUAUCAGAUGAGCCUAGGUCGGAUUAGCUAGUUGGUGGGGUAAAGGCCUACCAAGGCGACGAUCCGUAACUGGUCUGAGAGGAUGAUCAGUCACACUGGAACUGAGACACGGUCCAGACUCCUACGGGAGGCAGCAGUGGGGAAUAUUGGACAAUGGGCGAAAGCCUGAUCCAGCCAUGCCGCGUGUGUGAAGAAGGUCUUCGGAUUGUAAAGCACUUUAAGUUGGGAGGAAGGGCAGUAAGUUAAUACCUUGCUGUUUUGACGUUACCAACAGAAUAAGCACCGGCUAACUUCGUG